AACAAAACGCAGUAACUAGAGAGUUGAAGUUAGUCAGAAAAUGGUGCUAAACUGAAACUCAUAAGCAAACAGAGUCCUUAAACACGAGGGAUAUCUCAGUUCCAGUAUUAUUAAAUUAAUGAUGUCACCACUGAAAGAUCAGUCAAAACAUCCAAGGACAUUACUUUCUGGUAAGAAAACUAGCAAAUUACUAAGAUUUGGAGCACAGGUUUAUGAAAAUGUGUGCUUUAAGUUACAAGUCAAGAGUGGAAGCAUUCUUGCUGUUCAGUUGUARGCAUGGCUGGGUUUUGUUUGUAAAAAAGCUCAGAAAGGAAAUCUGUUUGUUACUUUUGGGUUGGAAGGAUAUGUGAACAGAUUUCUCUUAACAACAAAAUUAGAGACCCAGAAAAUACCCAACAGUCAUGCAGACUGUUGCAACAGAGUGUAGAAGAAGGAAACGAGCCGAAUGAUUGCUACAAUUGACCAGCCUUAGUACCAAGCUUUUUCRAAGUCCAGAAAAGAAAGCUUGCCGUCAUGAUCAUAGUCCUGCAAGAGGAGGAAGACGUUUUUGCAAAGGAUGGUUACUUGGAGUARCUGGAUUUACUAAACAAACAACAAAAUCACAUGGAUUCAAUUCUUGGUUAGCAAAGAGUAGCAAAUUGCUAAGUGGUAACUUGCUGGCUGUGUGAGACAGCAGACUCAGCCCUGUGAAGAACGAAGGGUUAAGAGCUGCCGGUCAGCUCGGAUGGGCUUGGGAAAUGAGGAAGAGGGGGUUAAAUAAAAAGAUCGGGAAGUGGAGAGCUGAUUUGAAUAGAGAUUUUUGAGCAAUGUAGUAGGAGGAGAGGGGAUAUUUCUUGAUGCAUGGUGAAACAGCCCCUAGCUAAUAUGAGUGUUGAGACAUAUAGAACAUAUAGAAUAAAACUUGACAUAUAGACAUAAAGAAUAAAACAUAUAGACAUAUAGAAUAAAACUUGAGGAUUAUGUAAACUGCGUAAGUACUUUUAAUUGUGAAAUACUUAAAAAGUUCGCUUGGUAAUAAAGUUACUGGAGAUGCCCCGUAACACUGGAAGGAAUACAGAUUAGAAUUGUCUGCUUUUGCUUUGAUGGGGUGCAUGUGUGUGUACACAUGCAUGUAUGUAUGUGCCUUAAUGUAUACCUAAAGUUUAUAAUACAUGGAUAUAAUGGAGUAGAAUUUUGUGUCAGGAUACAGGUCUGGGACUCAUUAGAUGUGGAUUACAUCUCUGGGUUUCCUUAGAAAGCUUGUGUAGCUUGUGUUGUACUUACCCAGCUCUGUGCCUCAGAAUCCUGCAGUAAAGCAGUUAACUGAUGGAUUUAUUUAUUGCUCUAAGGUUCAGUAAGC